rnacentral:tRNA from 1 species
CUAAGGAUAAACUAAGUAACAGAGGGCGCUAAAAAGCGACUUGAUUUUAGGGACUGACCAAGAAAUCCUGAUUUCUUAGGGCAGUCAUCUAAAUCACAAGCUUUUAGCCCGAGUACAAUUUAGCCAAAGUGGUUAAUAGAAGUACCUGAAGCUUAGUACCGGAAGCACGUUUUGGGGACGCUAUUUAGUUUUCAGAGGUUUUGUGGGGCCUUAGCUCAGCUGGGAGAGCGCCUGCUUUGCACGCAGGAGGUCAGCGGUUCGAUCCCGCUAGGCUCCAUUAGGAUACGGAGGACGAUUCGCUUUUUUCCUAAGACGUUAGUCCGGAGUUCAACUAUUCUCAAAGAGCAGUGCCCCCUUAUCCUAAGAAGCAACGAAGUUGCCAAUUGUUCAUUGAAAAUUGAAUAUCUAUCAAAUAGUAACAAGAAAAUAAACCGAAACGCUGUUAUAUUUUAAAGAGACCAAAGAGAAAUAA